GAAAGCUCUUAACAUUAGAGUGGAAUAUGACUUGCCUGUCUAUUGCAGCUGGAUAGGACAAGCACUGGACUACAGAAGAGCACUGCCCUCUGGGCACGAGAGAUUAAGCAGAGUGUCAAGGAAUAGUAUUGCCAGUAGCAGACAUAUUUCAAGAAGGGACCAGCUGUUCCCUUCUUCUGCAACUCUCCAGAAGGUGCAAUCCUGCAGUGUUCAAAGACAGGCUUUUCCCAGGCAUACUGCAUUAGCACUGCUGUUGGGGAUUCUGCGUUCCAGAAACUAUAGAAUGGUAUCAUUUUUACUUCCCAUAAUUUGGAUGGUAACAAUCAAUUACCCAUAUGACAGCAGCAGUGAUCACCUAGAUAACCUAGUCUGCGGUUACUGGUGGGAAAAGGGAUGGUAAGAGUCAACAUUUCAAAUGAGGAAUCCCACACUACUUGGUCUGUUUACACCACCAAGUGAGAAAGAAGAAUAAAUAAGCAACAUUGA